AAUUUUGGACAAUGGGGGCAACCCUGAUCCAGCCAUCCCGCGUGGGCGAUGAAGGCCUUCGGGUUGUAAAGCACUCUUGGCAGGGAAGAAAAGUCUCUGGUUAAUACCUGUAGCUGCUGACGGUACCUGCAGAUUAAGUACCGGCUAACUACGUUCCAGCAGCCGCGGUCAUACGUAGGGUGCAAGCUGUCAUCGGAAUUACUGGGCGUAAAGGGUGCGCAGGCGGUUUGGCAAGAAGGAUGUGAAAUACAGGGGCUUAACCUCGGAACUGCAUUCUUAACUGACAGGCUAGAGUAUGUCAGAGGGGGGUAGAAUUCCGCGUGUAGCAGUGAAAUGCGUAGAGAUGCGGAGGAAUACCGAUGGCGAAGGCAGCCACCUGGGAUAAUACUGACGCUCAGGCACGAAAGCGUGGGGAGCAAACA
rnacentral:rRNA from 1 species